GGGUUGUGAGGUUAAGCGACUAAGCGUACACGGUGGAUGCCCUGGCAGUCAGAGGCGAUGAAGGGCGUGCUAAUCUGCGAUAAGCGCCGGUAAGGUGAUAUGAACCGUUAUAACCGGCGAUACCCGAAUGGGGAAACCCAGUGUGACUCGUCACACUAUCAUUAACUGAAUCCAUAGGUUAAUGAGGCGAACCGGGGGAACUGAAACAUCUAAGUACCCCGAGGAAAAGAAAUCAACCGAGAUUCCCCCAGUAGCGGCGAGCGAACGGGGAGGAGCCCAGAGCCUGAAUCAGCAUGUGUGUUAGUGGAAGCGUCUGGAAAGGCGCGCGAUACAGGGUGACAGCCCCGUACACAAAAGCGCAUGUGCUGUGAGCUCGAUGAGUAGGGCGGGACACGUGGUAUCCUGUCUGAAUAUGGGGGGACCAUCCUCCAAGGCUAAAUACUCCUGACUGACCGAUAGUGAACCAGUACCGUGAGGGAAAGGCGAAAAGAACCCCGGCGAGGGGAGUGAAAAAGAACCUGAAACCGUGUACGUACAAGCAGUGGGAGCACAGGUUUACCUGUGUGACUGCGUACCUUUUGUAUAAUGGGUCAGCGACUUAUAUUCUGUAGCAAGGUUAACCGAAUAGGGGAGCCGGAGGGAAACCGAGUCUUAAUUGGGCGUUAAGUUGCAGGGUAUAGACCCGAAACCCGGUGAUCUAGCCAUGGGCAGGUUGAAGGUUGGGUAACACUAACUGGAGGACCGAACCGACUAAUGUUGAAAAAUUAGCGGAUGACCUGUGGCUGGGGGUGAAAGGCCAAUCAAACCGGGAGAUAGCUGGUUCUCCCCGAAAGCUAUUUAGGUAGCGCCUCGUGAAUUCAUCUCCGGGGGUAGAGCACUGUUUCGGCUAGGGGGCCAUCCCGGCUUACCAACCCGAUGCAAACUGCGAAUACCGGAGAAUGU
rnacentral:rRNA from 1 species